rnacentral:rRNA from 1 species
AUGCAUUUCCACGGCUCACCUCGAGCUCUCAUGGAGCCAUCUUCCCCUUUGUCCCCGAGCCUCACACCAGGAGUUCCAUCGGUAAUGGUUAUCCCCACAUCAGCCUCGCCACCGACCGAAUCGAGGGGGCAGCCGGACACAAUCAUUCUGCAUUCUAAGCUCAAGGCACGGGCGACAUUAGAUGCAGCAUGUGGGCCGAUGCCCGGCGUUGAACUUGCCGACGCUGGGGAGGAGGAGAAGCUGCGGAGGAGGACGUCGUGGAUGGGGAAGAGUGACCUCCAGCGAGGAGAGAGGGGCGAGGGAGCCCGUCAUUUGGAGACGCUCCUCCUUCUCCCUCGACGAAAUGGAGAGGUUGCAAGGUUUGGCUGUCUUACCCCAUGA